GUUCAUGUUGACAGAAUAUCUGCUAAAAUUGGAAAAAUACACUUAAUUCGAGCAUGGGCACUGUACAAAGAUAAUGCAUAAAUUCCAGAAGCAGGCCACAUAAUU
rnacentral:snRNA from 1 species